CCUACGGGUGGCUGCAGUGGGGAAUAUUGGACAAUGGGGGCAACCCUGAUCCAGCCAUGCCGCGUGUGUGAAGAAGGCCCUCGGGUUGUAAAGCACUUUCAGUGAGGAAGAACGCCUGGUGGUUAAUACCCAUCAGGAAAGACAUCACUCACAGAAGAAGCACCGGCUAACUCCGUGCCAGCAGCCGCGGUAAUACGGAGGGUGCGAGCGUUAAUCGGAAUUACUGGGCGUAAAGCGCGCGUAGGUGGCUUGAUAAGCCGGUUGUGAAAGCCCCGGGCUCAACCUGGGAACGGCAUCCGGAACUGUCAAGCUAGAGAGCAGGAGAGGAAGGUAGAAUUCCCGGUGUAGCGGUGAAAUGCGUAGAGAUCGGGAGGAAUACCAGUGGCGAAGGCGGCCUUCUGGACUGACACUGACACUGAGGUGCGAAAGCGUGGGUAGCAAACAGGAUUAGAUACCCUAGUAGUC
rnacentral:rRNA from 1 species